rnacentral:rRNA from 1 species
AUUGAACGCUGGCGGCAUGCUUUACACAUGCAAGUCGAACGGUAACAGGGUGCUUGCACCGCUGACGAGUGGCGAACGGGUGAGUAAUGCGUCGGAACGUGCCGAGUAGUGGGGGAUAACGCAGCGAAAGUUGUGCUAAUACCGCAUACGUACUGAGGUAGAAAGUGGGGGACCUUCGGGCCUCACGCUAUUCGAGCGGCCGACGUCUGAUUAGCUAGUAGGUGAGGUAAAGGCUCACCUAGGCGACGAUCAGUAGCGGGUCUGAGAGGAUGAUCCGCCACACUGGGACUGAGACACGGCCCAGACUCCUACGGGAGGCAGCAGUGGGGAAUUUUGGACAAUGGGCGCAAGCCUGAUCCAGCCAUGCCGCGUGCGGGAAGAAGGCCUUCGGGUUGUAAACCGCUUUUGUCAGGGAAGAAAUCUUCUGGGCUAAUACCCCGGGAGGAUGACGGUACCUGAAGAAUAAGCACCGGCUAACUACGUGCCAGCCGCCGCCGUAAGAC